rnacentral:rRNA from 1 species
GACGAACGCUGGCGGCGUGCUUAACACAUGCAAGUCGAACGAAGUGGCGAACGGGCGAGUAAUAUGUGGGUACCCUGCCCUCAUUUUUGGGAUAAGCCACGGAAACGGGGUCUAAAACCGAAUAAAGGGGGUUGGGCUCGCGGCCUAUCAGCUUGUUGGUGGGGUGCUGGCCGACCAAGGCGGUGACGGGUAGCCGGCCUGAGAUGGUGACCGGCAGCAUGGGGGAUGGGAGACGGCCCAGACACGUACGAGUGGGAGCAGGGGGGGAGAAUGCAGAAUGAGUGAAGAAGUGUGGGAGCGGCACCGCGGGGGGGAUGAGGGCUUGAGGGUGGUAAACGUCUUGGGCUAUCGAACGGGUAGGGGGAGAAGAAGCGGCGGCUAACUACGUGCCAGCAGCCGCGGUAAUUC